AAUCAAUUCGUAGCCACGUUUCUUCAAAACCCUAACUACUGUAAACCCUAUUUAAUCCCGUAUGUCUCUGAUAUCUUCAGCAUCACAAGUAUACAUCUCGAGUGCUUGUUUUCGGCGAUCAACACACACUAAAAUCCACGUCGAUGCCUCUUCAAGGAUGGCUUACCAACGCAUUGCAUUUCAUUGGAUUGCUUUAGUGUCAAAUGGUCCUUCCUAUAUUCUUUCUCAUUUCAUAAAACGAACUUUUCGUUGUUCUUGACAUUUUUUUAUAUUGGAUUUGGAAACUUUGGAUAUUAUUUUGAAUUGGCAAAUGAUGUAAUUUCAGUUUUAUGCUUAACACACUGAUUAAACCAUGGUGACUAAAAACUCCGCUUAUUAUCUGAUGCCAAAUUCUUUCUUAAAUGCAUUUGUAAAGCAAAUAUUUUUCUAUGUUUGUUUCAUAUUUUUAGUUGUUAUUGUUGGAUAUUGAAAGCAAAUGAUGCGACACAUCAAUCUUAUACUACACACUGAACAUUUUCAUGUAGAAAAACAACUCUCAAUUAUCUUGUGAUGCUUUUCGUAUUCACAAAAUCAAACGAUUUGUGUCUGAAAAGUAAUUAAAUUCUUUUUAAGUUUUUCUUUGAAUUUGCAUUGAUUGUAUAAUUUCAAUGACGAGAUUCAGCAGACGGGCGGUCUGAAAUGAUGCCAUGUUGAUUGUUCUGCGUAAUAUCUCUGAGAUUUUUAAUCAAAUUUAAGUCAUGUUACACUUUACUAUUAUGGUGUUUGAUUGUUCUUCUGUUACUUUUUAACAAUUUUGUAAAUUUUCUUGUGUUGCUGUGAUGAAUAUGCAAAUUUUAUAUGUCUGGACUUAUGAGACAUUGUCUGUGAAAUGAUGCGCAUACUUCUGAGCUUCAAAUGAUCCAUUUAAUAACAAAAAUGGAAUCUUAUAAAUGAGAAAUUAAUCUAGAGUUGGAUUUUUUAAUGAAGGGCUGCUGUGAUUAUAAAUAAAAAGAUUUAAUAUCUGAACGCUAUUUCGAUGGCAUGAUAGACUCUUUUACACCCAUAGAAUAUGAGCACCCAUGUAUCAACAUGUUCAAAUCAUAAACGUUUUAUAUAUAACUUUGGUUGAGACUUAUUGAUGUUGUUGCAGUGAUUAUAAAAAAUUCCUCGUUCUGAAAGCCAUAGCCAUGGCAUGACAGACACUUUACACCCAUAGAAUAUGAGCAACGUUACUUAAAGAAUUUUUAUGUAUAAUAAGUCAAAUCAAUUUGUAUUAUUGUCUUUUUAAAUUUGUUAAAUUUGAUUUUGUAAAGGGAAUUGAUAAUGAUACGAAUGGUCAGUAGUUCUAUAUAGUGGUGUUAAGCUCUAGUUUUCAGUUUUACAAUUGGAGUCCAAUUUUUAAUAAGAUUAGGUGUUUUUAAUCUGAAUUUUUGAUUGAUAAA